rnacentral:lncRNA from 1 species
CUUUCGCAUAUGAAGCUUGCUCUGCCUAGAAGCCGUCGAAAGUAUUGAGCAACGUGACUUCUGCGCUUAGUUGAAAAAGAACGAUGGUUUUAGCGAGCACCUUGGCCGUUAUGUUGUGUCUGGUGGCACAAGUUAGCGCAACGCACAAAAAUGACAGCAAAGGGUGUGACUUCUCUGGCAUCGACAUGGACUACUUUGUGCCAAGAAUUCUUGCUCUGUUACCAUCGAACCAUUCGAUCACGACCUCCGACUUUACGCUGGCCCUCCCGGGAAUUGAGAUCGGCCUCCAAAGACUGAGUGGCUUCAAUAAAAUCCUCCCUUACGGGCCGCUGGUUCCUUACUGCGUGGACGGUAGGCACAUGAUGCAAGUGGACCUGAUCAACAACGGCGACGUGUAUUUCUCUUCGCGCUGGAAAUCAUGCUCCGGGCACGAAGGGGAAAUUCGUUUGCGAAACUCAUUCUCCCGUUUUACUGUUCAGUUCCACGUCCUCACUCAUCCCACGGCGCGGGCCUUUUCGCUUGACUUUGAGGAUGCAGUAGUUCCCGUGAGUUCGGAUUAUCCUUAUGUCGUAAUCGAAGGCGCAGGUGAAGGCGUCAGCGCAGCAAGUAGAUGGCUGAGCAAAAUUUUUCCCGCUGCGACAGCAAAGGUGUGGAACGAUAACUUCUUUAAGUACUUCUGUUCCGCGUUGCGUGAAGCUGUUCGCGCGCUAUUUUCAGGAGGGGCUAGGCCUAGACUUUACUACGAACGAUUCCUUUAAAGUCGUGAGAUUAUAUUUAUGAAGUUUUAUAAUUGCAGCGUGCGGAAUGGAGUAUUUGUUCCACGCAAGUGCAUUGCUGUAUAUCUUGCUAUUUUCUGCACGGGCCGAUGAAAGAA